UUUCAAUGAUAUGAAUAGGAGGUAAAACUCCAGAACAUUUUGCAAUCACUUGGAUAAAAAUGUUAUAAUGCUGAUAGAUGUUAUGACUUGGUGAUUCUUAUUUGCCAUUUCAAUUUUUGCAAAUAUUAAAUCGUUUCACUCUCAACUUAUUGGUUAAAGAGUAUAUGCCAAUGAUUUAAAUAUAAUGCUUAUUUCAUGUGCUCUGGGUUAGAUGUUAAUUUGGUUAAAAUUUUGUGGGCCGGUGUAGAGCUUAUAUCUGUUUUCAAGUUUAUUUUGUGGGUUUUACACUAGACAGUUAUCCACCAAAGGAGUGUCCAGAUUGUUAAUAAUGUGUGUAUUUACUUGUACUAUUUUAUUUUACUCAAAUAGAACAAAGUUGAAUAAUUUUACUGAAACAUAUUGCCAUAUCUGAGACAUCAAUACAGAACAACUUUGCAUACAUAAUGUUUCUUCAUUACUAAGUUUUUAUAUGUAAUUUAAAUUAAUCUCUAUUAUUCUAGAAUGGCCAGGUAUACUUAACCAGUUCUUAUAUGCCAAACAUUCGAUAAAUUCUGUUUUAAAUUUUGGAAGUUGAACUUAAUGCUCCCUUCUUGCACACUCGGAAAAGGAUUAAUUUUGAAAGGAUUUGUAAGACACAUGUAUAUGAACAGCACUAUUUAUACACCAACAUACAAAUUAAUGAGAUGAACCUUGCCGAUGUAUUGUGUGAUUGUUUUAAAACAAGAGAAAAAGUGUUUUGUUCUUUUUUUGCUUUCAUGUUACUUUUGUUGAGAAAAGUAUAUAGCUCAAAGAAUGGACACAUUUUGUACUUAGAAAAAACAAGCCACACAAGUUAGGUGACAUUCUGUGGGCUAAAGACUCCAGUGUGAACUAAUAAAUAACUUUUUUGAGAAAUUUUUGGGCCUGACUCCAUAAUUUUUACAUAAAUAGUUUUUCCAGCGUAUAGUGGAGUUCUUGCCUGAGGAUGAGUUAAGAAUUGUUUUAUCAAACAUAAAAAAUUAAAAAUUGUUGGAUUUAAAUUUCACCUACUUUCUAAAAACAAAACAUGACAUUGCCCACUGGGAAUACAGGUUACUAAAGAGGCAUCUUUCAAAGAGAAGAAGAUAAUGGACUUGAUUGAAAUAGUUGAACUACGUAACGCCAAUUCAAGAACAAAUGGUUUUUCAGAGCAUAAAGGAGAAAGAACAAUUUACUAUAGUACAGUUUAUUCUUCUUACACAAUAGUAAUGAUUUAUUUGAAAUGACAGAACAAACAUAGUAAAUAUACAAAAACAACCAAUGAUAUCUUAUGUCAGAGAUCUGUCAAGAUUGUUGUGUUUCAUAUAUGAGAAUAUUCUUAAUUCAAUUAUUUUUCUGAAGACUUUAGUGAAAACCUACACUCUUGCUUAGCAUAUAUGUUGAUAUUAUAAUCGUGUAUUCUUGCACAUGUGUGUAGAUACAGUAUAUAUAAAAUGUAUUUGAAGAGAGUCUGAUGACCAAAUAUAAUUGUUGGUAUUUUAUUAUAACGAGAGUUAUUUUUAAAAGCUAUUGCAUUAGGAUAUUAACAUAUUUUAACACAAUGAAAUUUACAUGGGGAGGUCAACUAGCUAUGUCUAUGCUAGCAGAAGGGCAUAGUCAGAUAAUGGCCAAAUUAAUGUGUUGAUGAUGUAAUUAUUGCAAAUGCCUCAUAUCAAACUAUAUUUCAAUCAUGUCCAAAUAGAGACGACUCUAAUGUGGCAAGAGGUAUACAAUGUUAUUUAAAGAAACUUUGUUUCUUUACAUUAUGAAGAUGGUUUCUAAAAGUAGACUCACACUCAGUUUCUCUUAUGAAAAGACAGAUUGGGUUGUUUUUUUUUUUUUUUUAAACUUAGCCUUUAGGCUUUGAGGCCUGAAGUUAUUUUGAGUGGAUGUCUGAGCACCGACCACAAAGAGAAUGCCCAGGAACCUCAAGUCACAAUGAGAAAAGAAGGAAAAUUGGUUUGGCUGCUUCAUGCCUCAGAUUUUAUUCUGUCAAAUCUACCUGCAGACAGCCCUCAAAAUUAAUUUGAGUGAAAACUAUCCAAGUUAUUUUCACAAUUUUCGAAAGACCCACGGUCCUGUUGAUAUCCCAUUAAGGAAUAGUAUUCUAAGAGUGAUUGAAUGUUCCACUGCCUGAAACUCAGUCAAGCUCAGUGAGGCGCUGGGGUCAAAUGGGCUCAUGAAUCACAGAUAGGAAAUGAUCUGUGUAUUGCAUAUUUGGAGGUUUAAAAAGAAACAUUUGGGAUAUUUUACCGUAAACAGAUUUGGGGUUGGUUUUUGGCACAUCUUUUUAAACACCAAGUCUGCAGUUCAGCUGAAAUAACUUUUUAUAUGUAUAGCUAAGACCAGAUGGCCACGUGCUCCUUUCUUAUUUAGAUGAGACUUUUCCUUUCAAUAACAUCUUUCUUCCUGACCUGCUUAAAAAUUCCAGCGAAUGAAAUCAGCUCAGGAUUUUCAAUUCUAAUUGACCAUGUGCAAAGGAAGGGCCAGUGGAGAAAUCAGUGGAGGCAUUGUGAGGCUCACUGCCUCAGUUUUGUCUUUGUGUUUUCCCCUUACUAGUCAAUCUAAACUAAUUGAAAACAUUUAAUAUUUAGUCAUAUUAAUAUAGCUACAAGAUUAUUGCUCAAUGCAAAUUAUUUGAGUCGGGUGUUUCUGCCAUUUCAUAAGUAAUCAGAAAAGUUAUCACACACCUCCAUAGUCUUUCAACUACCUGCUAAGCAAUUUAUGGGUUAAAAAAACAUUACAACAUUGGCAUAAUGAUUGAAUUAAGAUGAAAGAAUUAUGAUACUAAACUUAUUUGAACACAUCAUUAUUAUUGAAACACAUAUAUACUGUUAAAUUUACCUUGAAAGUAUCUACUAUAUAAAAUUCCUGGUCCAUUACAUGUGAAGUCAUUAUAUUUAUAAUUUUUUUUUUCUGGAGAUUUCAUUUGGACUUGGAUUUGUAAAAGAUACCAAACAUUGAAGAUGAUCUGUAGGGUCAAUGGCUAAGUAGCAAAUCAUAUAUGCUGGUAAAGUGGGCAUGUGAAUUUUUAGGGUGUUUUUCUUCUUGACAAGUUCUUGACUCAAAUAAUUUUCUUCAUAGUUUAUUACUUCAAAAACUCAAAGAUGUUCCCUUUUUAAAAAUGUAAUUUUAGAAUGGCAAAAGUGUUAGAUGAAAACAAAUUAUCCUUCUGAUACAGACAUUAUUUUGACUAAUAAAGACAGAAACCCGUACCAAAGGUGCAGAUUUUUAAAAUACAUGCUAGAGAUAAGAAAAACUCUGAAUUAAUUAUCAUUGUUAUUGAGAAAACACUGGCCUCACAGCAACACUGUCUCAGAUUUAGAAUUCUUUGCUCAUUCUUAUCCAGGUAACCUUUUAUCCACUAGUUAUCAAAAAUGGGAUGCCUAAUCAAAAGCCACACUAGUGCAAUUGUUUGAAAAAUGCUUUUUAUGAGUGAUAAGAUCAAAACGAAUUUCUUUGAGUCAAAAGUACACAAAAAUUGACAUGCGGUUGGUCAUGGGAUUCACAUCUAUGAAGGCAUGUUCUAUGCCACCAACGUAUAAAGUCAAUUCUUUAUGCACCUUGUAAAACUUAAAUUUCUGAGAUUUUCAUAUAUGUAUAUUAUAUAUAUAUAUAUGAGUCAAUUUGUAUUAACAAAAUAUUAAAACUCCCAUUGCAUCAAAUAUAUGUGUUAGUUAAGGUGUCUCAUAUUUUAUAAAUUUUCUUCCUGAUUUGUGAAUCAUAAAAAUCAAUUAGAAAAAAUAUAUAUGGCAGGGAUUUAGCACAUUUUUGUUCUACUACCCGAAAUGAAUAAAAUAUAUUUAGGGACUUGAGACAUCAAAAUAUAAACAGAAAACCUAAGAAACACAAAGUCUAAAAAUUAUACAUAUUUUUAGCUUAGUUUUACUCCUAAAAAUAACAGAUUCCAAAUGAAAGUGAAUGUGGCUCUUAUGUAGGAGAUAAUGGAUAACGGGAUCUUGAGAAAAAUAGUGAAAAUUAUAUUGGCGGAGUAAUUUCAGAUGGUUGAAGCUAAGAUGGUCAAAACAGAUAGGUAAAAACAAGGAAUACAACUGGGAGUUACUCCCACUUUCUCUUCUUCCAUGUUAUUCUGAAAAAUAGACCUCGAUUCUGCAGGAUCAUAGAUAAUCACGCAUUUUAAAUGAGCUUUACUCUUUUUAUUUAUAUGGGGUCAUGAUUGAGACUUGCUACUCAGUUUUCCUGUUUAUCCUAAUUCUUUAGACGAAGAGCACAGGAGAAACUAUAAUCAGUUUUGGGAGCUUUGCAGCUGUGUAAGAUGUCUGCCCCUCACUAUAUCCCCUCUGCUGUUCUGUAAGCCUGUGAUCAUCAGUCAGAAACAGAGAUCCUUGAGAAACCCAGGCCCCUUUAAUUCUCUGGGGGCUGCAUUUGUAUCUGUUUUCACGUUCCUUCUGAAGAAUCUUUCCCCAGACUAUAGCACACAUCUGAACACUUGCUUCCCACCCAGUUUGCUAUGUUCACAGCCAUUUCUGCUUAGGUAGGACUUUGCCUCAUCCUUAAUUACGCAGCUACGGUUCACACUCAGAGCUGUAUUUUUUUUUAAUUUUAUAUUUUUAAACUGUGAAGGAAGUGGGGCCAACCGGGUCUACGUGACCUCAAAAGAAUAAGUGUAGGAGCAGACGCAGAUGUCUUUGGCAUUCUGAAAGUCUGCAGUGUGGUAAACAGAAUAACAAGAUUGCACUGAAUUUGAUUGGACAGCUCUCACUUCCAGCAAGUGGACUAUGCCCACUUUGGAGUGGAAGUUUUCUCUUAAGUAAUGCACUUGUGGUGGACUCUUCAUUCCUGCAACUCAUACUUGAUUUGGUGUAUUUCCUGCAGGGAAAUUUACUGUUUUAAUUUAAAGGGCCUAACCUCUCCCUCAGCAAAUGCUGAAUAGGACAACGGUAUGAAAAGAGAUUAUGUCCAUAAGCAUAUGAGAGAGCAAACUGCACCAGAUGACCCAAAACGAGGCGAAUAUGUCAAAAAGUUGAUUCGAGUUAAUUAUAUGUUUAUCAUGCAUAUGGGUUAUCUAGUAAUCUGUAGGUAAAUGCAACCUCUCUGUGUGAUGGGAAACCAGAACUGAACCAAAAUUCUAUUUAAGGUUUUAAGUAUUAUGUUUAUUGUUUAGAAGCAUUCGUAAAAGAGACAUAUUUCACUGAUUUGUACAGUCGUCUGAUUGCCUUGGUACUAUCAGCCAUCGCUAGGAUAUUCGUCCACGUUAAAUGGGAGAAAAUGCCAAUGCUCUGGUUGUUGUAAGCACUUCACAAUGUGUUCCCCUCACCCUGAAAGGACAUAAAGAUUUAAGCUGACAACAGUGACCGGGAAGAAAUUCGUUCUUUGGUUAGUCUGAGGACAGAAAAGGGUUAAUUUUUCAAAUCUCUGUGAAGAGGUGGGGAACAAGCCCUGGAAGAUAAAAAUCAAACCAAAGCCUAAGCUGCUAGUGAUUUGGUUGUAUUUAUGGAUUAUACUACAUCUUGAAAAGAAGAAAAUCAGAGCUGUAAGAUGACGCUGCAGGGGUCGUCUGGACUUUUCACUGAGUCUAAAGUCUGUGUAGUCAAUGCUUAUUAAGGCCUGGAUUUGACCUUUGCUCUCCUCACUCCUCCCUGUCCCAGGUGCAACAUUUUUGCAAGUGCUUUACCAUUAUUGGACACUAUGUGCAAGCUUCAAAUUGUGAAUGAACAGAGUGCUCUUAGCAUAAAAAGCAAUCCAGUAGUCACCAUGCCCGAGUUUAAAAAAAAAACAAA